CGCUUGCUCGCCGUGAAAAUCUUUCAUGCGUGGGUGUCGGCUCUGCGGCGCUGGACGCAUCGUCACGCGUAUGCCUUUAUCAUCAAAGGUUUCCGCGCAAGGCCCACUAGCAGCCUCUCUCUUCCCUUCUCCUUCUUUCUCCACUGCUGACAUUACACGUUGCACCAGUGUCAUCAUCCGCGUGGCCUAGGCGUCUGUUUCUGCCCCCCCCCUAUAGUUUACCUGUUGAUUACCGCCGCGACUUGUGUAGUUCGACGCCCCCCCCCCCGCCCCAUGCGAUCAUUUCUUGUGGCCCGCGCCCUCGGCGCGGCAUCGAAGAGGCGCUACCCUCUCUUCCCCGCCGCGCUGCGCUGCCAGUCCACGGCCUCCUCUCCGCUUUCCUGUGCUUCUACUGCUGCAAAGACAUCGGCUGCUGCCACCACAGUACCGCAGACAGAAACACCACAAGGCAUCCGCCUUUCCCGCGAGAUGGGCCUCAGUGAAGGUUUCGAGGGCAUCGGCGUCUAUGCGGGCUCCAUCUCUGCCUUUAUGAAGCCGGCCCACGAAAAAGCAGAUGCCACUUUCGGCACCGACGGCGACGGUGUGCUACCAUGCGAGCAGCCCGGCAGCCAGGCCGCUAUCCAGGCUGCUCAAGCGGAGUGCAUGGCUUCGGUGGCCAUGACCGGCAAGCUUCCCUCUCCCUCGCGCGCUGGUGCCGAAGCGCAUCGCCAGGCUCAUGGGCAGGCUUCCCAUACCUCAUCCUUGCCACGCCGCGCCCCACCAGCAGCGCUGAAUGUGACGCCGCGCAAGCCCCCGAUGAGUCUCGCGGCGGACCCUAAGUCGUUGAGCUCUCCACCCUCUGCAUCUGCUGCGAGGCCGACGGCGGCAUCAGCAGCGGCGAUCGGGGUAACGGCACGACCGGCCACUUCUCUCUCGUCCUCCCCACGCCCGCAGAGUGACAACGCGAAGGGUGCCAGCCGCGUCACGGCGGAUGGUUCCCGCGUUAUGCGCAACAAGGAGGCUACAGACUACUACCGCGCCCUCCCACAGAACGAGCUAAGCAAGGAGGAUAUGUGGCGCCGCAUCAACGAGGCGAGCGCCGAUCGCGCCGAGGCCACCGGUACCGCCAUCGGUUCCGCUGAGGUGGAUUACAUAAAACUGGAAGAUGAGCUGCGUGACUUCGACCUCUUUCACUACCGCAUUGGCGAAAUGGCCUACCCUGACCAAGCGAUGCGGCGCGACUACUACGCCUUGUGGAACUUGGCGAUGUCGCUGAAUAAGGCUCGGUGGUCUAUGCUCGAGGUGCACUCGCAACGCGGAAUGAAGACGACCGGCGCUGGUAUGAAGCUGAUCUUCUGGAAAGAGUCCGUCGGCGCAAUCAUGGAAAAGCGGAAGAUGUGCACGGGGCAGUUCACCGACUCCCACCCCGUCUUGCGCCCCUUCGCUGCCGCGGUGGAGCGCAACCCGCAUAUGACGAAGGCUUUUGUGCGCGGCUUCACUGAUGCCCGCCUGCGCGUCAUUCAGCAACCCGGAAACGUGCAGCAGCUCUUCGACCACUUCGACAAGUUCUACGGCUACUUCUUCAACUCCUUGCUGGAGGUGACGCACAUAAAAGACGAGGCGACGGAGCACCUCAUGACCCACGUUGGCCGUGCAACCGGGCUGACAAACCACUGCGUGAUGUUCUGGAAGAAGUACGCGCGCCUCGGCUUCACGAUGCUGCCGGCCGACCUCUGCGCCGACAAUCACGUGAACCUCGGACUGCUCAAGAACAUUCCUCUGGCGUCUCGUGAUCGCGCCGUGCGCAAGGUCCUUUUCGACGUCAUGUGCAUUGUCAAGGACGAGAUGCUGCACGCGCAAAAAUGCGCUAAAGAUGUUCCACCCAAGACGUGGCCGAUAGUCAUGGAGUGCCUCUAUGCAAACUACUAUCUCGGCUUCCUGCAGCGGCGCGACUUCAACGUGAGUGCCAUGUUUGCGGACCACAACAUCGAGAACGCCGGCUUCACGUGGUAUCGCCUGAAGAAGCGAUGGGAGUGGGAGCGGUACCAGAGCAUCGAGCGUCUCGUCGAUGAGGCGGCACCGCUGCCGUACAUCAAUACUUCCUUCGCGCACCGCGGCUCGCACUACAAGAUGGCGAGCGGUGUCGGCUCAGGCGCUCCCCAGGCACAGCGGAACAGGAGCUGAGGCAGGGCAUGUGCAUGCAGAGCGGUAUAUAGAUAGUCUCCGCAGUGCUGUUCGCGCGUGUAAUGCGCAUCAGGGAAGGGAAGCUGGUGCUGAUGGGCAGGCGACUAAAGUGAUGUGACAGAUCCCUCCAUCCUCCUCGCCCAUCUCACCUUGAAGGGGAUACGCUUUCGAUGAUCUUGAUGAGUCGGUAACUGGGGAGUGGAGGGGUGUACGUCGACGAAGCGUGAUGAUCACAAGCAUGCCACCAUCCUUUUUCGUUCUCCCCCUUGCUCCUGCGAGCGUGACUGUGUAUUGUCAGGCAGCCUUGAAAUACAAG
rnacentral:misc_RNA from 1 species